rnacentral:rRNA from 1 species
CAAGGAAUCUUCUACAAUGGGCGCAAGCCCGAUAGAGCAACGCCGCGUGGAGGACGACGGCCUUCGGGUUGUAAACUCCUUUCGGGGGGGAUGAUGAUGACAGUACCCCCAGAAGCAGCCCCGGCUAACUCUGUGCCAGCAGCCGCGGUAAUACAGAGGGGGCAAGCGUUGUCCGGAAUUACUGGGCGUAGAGCGCGCGCAGGCGGCUCGCGACGUGCCGUGUGACAAGCGGGGGCUUAACCCCCGAGGGUCACGGUAGACGCGCGAACUGGAGGCAGGGAGAGGGAUGUGGAAUGCCCGGUGGAGCGGUGAAAUGCGUAGAGAUCGGGCGGAACACCAGCGGCGAAGGCGGCAUCCUGGCCCUGUACUGACGCUGAGGCGCGAGAGCGUGGGGAGCAAACCGG